rnacentral:rRNA from 1 species
UACGGAGGGUGCAAGCGUUAUCCGGAUUCACUGGGUUUAAAGGGUGCGUAGGAGGGCAGGUAAGUCAGUGGUGAAAUCUCCAAGCUUAACUUGGAACUGCCGUUGAUACUAUCUGUCUUGAAUAUUGUGGAGGUGAGCGGAAUAUGUCAUGUAGCGGUGAAAUGCUUAGAUAUGACAUAGAACACCAAUUGCGAAGGCAGCUCGCUACUCAAUUAUUGACUCUGAGGCACGAAAGCGUGGGGAUCAAACAGG